AUACGGAGGAUGCAAGCGUUAUCCGGAUUUAUUGGGUUUAAAGGGUGCGUAGGCUGUUUGGAAAGUCAGGGGUGAAAGCCCGGCGCCUAACGCCGGAACUGCCUUUGAUACUUCCGAGCUGGAGUACGGAUGCCGUGGGAGGAAUGAGUAGUGUAGCGGUGAAAUGCAUAGAUAUUACUCAGAACACCGAUUGCGAAGGCAGCUCACGAAUCCGUCAUUGACGAUGAGGCACGAAAGCGUGUGGAUCAAACAGGAUUAGAUACCCUGGUAAUCCACGCAGUAGACGGUGAUGACUAACCGUCGGCGAUACACAGUCGGUGGCCAAGCGAAAGCGAUAAGUCAUCCACCUGGGGAGUACGACCGCAAGGUUGAAACUCAAAUGAAUUGACGGGG
rnacentral:rRNA from 1 species